GUAUUUCAGCAAUGCAUUCUCAAGAAGGAAGAGAUUAAUGAACCUUACCCUCUUACAAUGAACAACACAUGGACACUCUCAGGAUGAUCCCUUUGCUUUCAUUAAGAGUUCCAAGAUGUGGGUCUGAUGGACUGGGGUGUGAAAUGUAACAGCUAAUGGUGUACUUAAGCUAAGACUGUCAGUCCCAAUAUUCAAGAGCAAUGCAUUCUCAAGAAGGAGGAGAUUAAUGAACCCUACCCUCUUACAAUGAACAACACAUGGACACUCUCAGGAUGAUCCCUUUGCUUUCAUUAAGAGUUCCAAGAUGUGGGUCUGAUGGACUGGGGUGUGAAAUGUAACAGCUAAUGGUGUACUUAAGCUAAGACUGUCAGUCCCAAUAUUCAAGAGCAAUGCAUUCUCAAGAAGGAAGAGAUUCAUGAACCCUACCCUCUUACAAUGAACAACACAUGGACACUCUCAGGAUGAUCCCUUUGCCUUCAUUAAGAGUUCCAAGGUAUGG